UUUGUGAAGUGCAAGAUGAAAAACAAGAACACUGGUACACAAGACGGGAUUAAGCCCAACCCCGAAAGGCCGAAGCACGUUGGAAGUCGUCAUUUUUCAGUUUUUGGGCAGAAGGCAUUACGAAUGCCGUGUGGAGGAUCCUGAUUUAACCGUAUAAUCAAGCCCGCUUCUUGAAUCUACCGUGUCGCUCUUCUACCCAAUAUUUCCGUUGAAAAAGGUGUGUUUUGCUUUUGCUGUGUGAAAUUGGCUGCAACAAAGCGUCUGCUUGAAGCAUCGUCAACUCCACGAUACUUGGCUUCCUUUUCAGAACUUCGAAGAAUUCUGGGCGAGAAGGAAAUGCUGGGAUGAAAGCUUAGUUUUAUGGAAAAUGGCAACUUUAAUUGAGCCACCCAAUAAAGUUGGGCCAAAGGGGAAGCAUUAUUACUCCAUAUGGCAAACAGUGUUUGAGAUUGAUACAAAGUACGUCCCAAUAAAACCCAUCGGCCGAGGAGCAUAUGGUGUAGUAUGUUCUUCCAUCAACAGGGAAACCAAUGAGAAAGUUGCAAUUAAGAAGAUUGGUAAUAUAUUUGAGAAUCGCGUUGAUGCAUUGAGAACACUGAGGGAAUUGAAGUUGCUUAGACAUAUUAGGCACGAGAAUGUGAUUGCUUUGAAGGAUGUUAUGUUGCCUGCCCAGAGAACAAGUUUCAAGGAUGUGUACUUGGUUUAUGAGCUCAUGGAUACAGAUCUUCAUCAAAUAAUUAAAUCUUCGCAGCCCCUUUCCAAUGAUCAUUGCAAAUAUUUUAUAUUUCAGUUGCUUCGAGGUCUCAAAUAUCUUCACUCCGCAAAUAUCCUUCAUCGGGACUUGAAGCCUGGAAAUCUGCUCAUCAAUGCCAAUUGUGAUCUGAAGAUAUGUGACUUUGGGCUUGCACGAACAAAUGGAGGUGAUGGCCAAUUCAUGACCGAGUAUGUUGUGACUCGCUGGUAUCGUGCUCCGGAGCUCCUCUUAUGCUGUGAGAAUUAUGGAACCUCGAUUGACGUGUGGUCUGUAGGAUGCAUUUUUGCGGAGAUUCUUGGCAGAAAACCAAUCUUUCCCGGAACUGAAUGCCUCAACCAGUUGAAACUCAUCAUACGUGUUCUGGGAAGCCAGGACGAGUCUGAUCUCGCGUUUAUUGACAAUCCAAAGGCCAGGAGGUACAUCAAAUCACUGCCCUACACAAGAGGCGUGCACUUGUCUCAGCUAUACCCGCAAGCAGAUCCAUUAGCCAUGGAUUUAUUGCAGAAAAUGCUGGUGUUUGAUCCAACCAAGAGAAUUACUAUCGUGGAAGCGCUGCAACACCCCUAUAUGGUGGGCCUUUACGAUCCCAGAUCUAAUCCUCCGGCCCAGGUUCCAAUCAAUCUCGACAUAGACGAAAACUGGAGGGAACCCACGAUUAGGGAAAUGAUGUGGAAUGAGAUGCUUCAUUAUCAUCCGGAAGCUUCUGCCAAUGCAUAGCCAUUUCAAAUGCUUCUCAUUCUGUUGCUUCGCAUGGAUCCAGUUCUGUGCUAUUUUUCGACUUUCUUUUGGAGGACUUUACUCCUAAAUAUUGUACUUGCACUGCAUUAUUUUUCUUGCUUUCGACUUCACGGCGCCGCGUGACUUGUAAAUAGCCAUUGACAAUAUAUUUGCCUUGCCUUCGACCACUACAGUACUCCACAGGUAAAUGCGAAUGAAAAUGCAUCGAGAUAGAAACUAGAAAGGAAAGGAUAUCCAAGGUAGAAACUACUGGCAAGUAAGGUGGCCUGAGGCAGAUUCAUCUAAACUGUCUAUGCCAUAUUCUGGUAUUAAUGCGGAAUAUUAAUGCGGCACGGUUCACCUUGUUAAAUUCAAGUGUCCAGACAAGUUCAAUUCGUACAGGAAUCCCCUAAUUACUUUUGAAAGUACAUUCCCUUUUAUUGUUUAGCCCUGUUUUCCAAAUAUGAGUGUUCCAAUCUGUUGGACCAAAAUUUAGCUGAGGAUUCUGCUAGACUUCAACAGGAAGGACCCCACGAAGACAAAGAGGAUUAUAAUUAUUAUUCAACAAUUUCUAUUUCUUUUUAUAAUUUUCGAGAGUAAGGAUGUAAGGAUUUUUUUUUUUACUUUUAAAAUUACUUUUACGUUAUUUGUAA